CCUACGGGUGGCAGCAGUGGAGAAUAUUGCGCAAUGGGCGAAAGCCUGACGCAGCGACGCCGCGUGAGGGAUGAAGGUCUUCUGAUCGUAAACCUCUGUCAGCAGGGAAGAAAGGUCACUGUGCUAAUCAGCAGUGCAUUGACGGUACCUGCAAAGGAAGCACCGUCUAACUCCGUGCCAGCAGCCGCGGUAAUACGGAGGGUGCGAGCGUUAAUCGGAAUUACUGGGCGUAAAGCGCUCGUAGGCGGUAUGUCAAGUCAAGGGUGAAAUCCCCGCGCUCACCGUGGGAACUGCCUUUGAAACUGGCAAACUGGAGUGUGUGAGAGGAUAGUGGAAUUCCAGGUGUAGGAGUGAAAUCCGUAGAUAUCUGGAGGAACAUCAGUGGCGAAGGCGACUAUCUGGCACAUAACUGACGCUGAGGAGCGAAAGCGUGGGUAGCAAACAGGAUUAGAUACCCCAGUAGUC
rnacentral:rRNA from 1 species